ACAGUGUCUGGUGGGUAGUUUGACUGGGGCGGUCUCCUCCCAAAGCGUAACGGAGGAGCACGAAGGUUAGCUAAUCCUGGUCGGACAUCAGGAGGUUAGUGCAAUGGCAUAAGCUAGCUUGACUGCGAGCGUGACGGCGCGAGCAGGUGCGAAAGCAGGUCAUAGUGAUCCGGUGGUUCUGAAUGGAAGGGCCAUCGCUCAACGGAUAAAAGGUACUCCGGGGAUAACAGGCUGAUACCGCCCAAGAGUUCAUAUCGACGGCGGUGUUUGGCACCUCGAUGUCGGCUCAUCACAUCCUGGGGCUGAAGUAGGUCCCAAGGGUAUGGCUGUUCGCCAUUUAAAGUGGUACGCGAGCUGGGUUUAGAACGUCGUGAGACAGUUCGGUCCCUAUCUGCCGUGGGCGCUGGAGAAUUGAGGGGGGCUGCUCCUAGUACGAGAGGACCGGAGUGGACGCAUCACUGGUGUUCGGGUUGUCAUGCCAAUGGCACUGCCCGGUAGCUAAAUGCGGAAGAGAUAAGUGCUGAAAGCAUCUAAGCACGAAACUUGCCCCGAGAUGAGUUCUCCCUGAGACUUUAAGUCUCCUGAAGGAACGUUAAAGACGAUGACGUUGAUAGGCCGGGUGUGUAAGCGCAGCGAUGCGUUGAGCUAACCGGUACUAAUGAACCGUGAGGCUUAACCUUAC
rnacentral:rRNA from 1 species